rnacentral:rRNA from 1 species
UACGAAGGGGGGCUAGCGUUGCUCGGAAUCACUGGGCGUAAAGCGCACGUAGGCGGAUUCUUAAGUCAGGGGGUGAAAUCCUGGAGCUCAACUCCAGAACUGCCUUUGAUACUGGGAGUCUCGAGUCCGGGAGAGGUGAGUGGAACUGCGAGUGUAGAGGUGAAAUUCGUAGAUAUUCGCAAGAACACCAGUGGCGAAGGCGGCUCACUGGCCCGGUACUGACGCUGAGGUGCGAAAGCGUGGGGAGCAAACAGG